UACGUAGGGUGCAAGCGUUGUCCGGAAUUAUUGGGCGUAAAGAGCUCGUAGGCGGUUUGUCGCGUCUGCCGUGAAAGUCCGGGGCUCAACUCCGGAUCUGCGGUGGGUACGGGCAGACUAGAGUGAUGUAGGGGAGACUGGAAUUCCUGGUGUAGCGGUGAAAUGCGCAGAUAUCAGGAGGAAUACCGAUGGCGAAGGCAGGUCUCUGGGCAUUAACUGACGCUGAGGAGCGAAAGCAUGGGGAGCGAACAGG
rnacentral:rRNA from 1 species